rnacentral:rRNA from 1 species
UGGGCAACCUGCCCCUCUCUCUGGGAUAACCCCGGGAAACCGGAGCUAAUACCGGAUACUCCGGCUGGAUCGCAUGGUCCGGCCGGGAAAGGUCCGCCGGAGAGGGAUGGGCCCGCGGCCUAUCAGCUUGUUGGUGGGGUCAUGGCUCACCAAGGCGACGACGGGUAGCUGGUCUGAGAGGACGACCAGCCACACUGAAACUGAGAUACGGCCCAGACUCCUACGGGAGCA